AAUUAUUAUAAAAUAAAAAAAGAUGCAUCAUAUCUCAGAAUGAUUUUCUUUGAAAGCCUGGGAAAACGCUUGGGCUUCUUCUGGAUGAUCUGGACAUGCUAUACAACCCCAAAAUAUGUAUUACCGCCACCAACUGGACGACGUUGAAAAAAACAAGCAAAUGGCACAAUCAAUAUCAACUGUCCCAGGAUGCACCACCAUGAGCAGAGGGCCAGGAAAACCACCAAGCUGCCUGCAAGGCUGAAUAAUAUUUCGGAUUUCCUGUUAUCAACCUAUUGCCUGAUCUCCCGGAUGACGUUACAAGCCUUUUCCAUGCCUGUACUAUUGCCUUUUUGGACCCCCGGUGUAUGACAUUCUGCCUGCCCCUGGACCCAGCUACCUGCCUCCUCAUGUGGUCCUUUACCAAUAAAGACCUGCUGCGCCCUGCGCUUGAAACCA